rnacentral:rRNA from 1 species
CCAGUGGCGAAGGCGACUCUCUGGUCUGUAACUGACGCUGAGGAGCGAAAGCGUGGGGAGCGAACAGGAUUAGAUACCCUGGUAGUCCACGCCGUAAACGAUGAGUGCUAAGUGUUAGGGGGUUUCCGCCCCUUAGUGCUGCAGCUAACGCAUUAAGCACUCCGCCUGGGGAGUACGGUCGCAAGACUGAAACUCAAAGGAAUUGACGGGGGCCCGCACAAGCGGUGGAGCAUGUGGUUUAAUUCGAAGCAACGCGAAGAACCUUACCAGGUCUUGACAUCCUCUGACAAUCCUAGAGAUAGGACUUCCCCUUCGGGGGCAGAGUGACAGGUGGUGCAUGGUUGUCGUCAGCUCGUGUCGUGAGAUGUUGGGUUAAGUCCCGCAACGAGCGCAACCCUUGAUCUUAGUUGCCAGCAUUCAGUUGGGCACUCUAAGGUGACUGCCGGUGACAAACCGGAGGAAGGUGGGGAUGACGUCAAAUCAUCAUGCCCCUUAUGACCUGGGCUACACACGUGCUACAAUGGACAGAACAAAGGGCAGCGAAACCGCGAGGUUAAGCCAAUCCCACAAAUCUGUUCUCAGUUCGGAUCGCAGUCUGCAACUCGACUGCGUGAAGCUGGAAUCGCUAGUAAU